CCUGCAUUGAAAGCGUGAAGUCUUAAAUACUGGACUGCCAGAGAAGUCCUCAUUCAUUCAUUUCUUUAAGAGGCCUUAGUCCCCAGCUUCUGAGCUCAACCUGAGGCAGCUACGAGCAGAGAAGAUGGAAUAUUCUACUCCAUUCUACUGUGGGAGGUGGGUCAGGCACAACCUCUGACUUCUGGAACUUUGUAAAGCGAAAAGAUGUUUCACGAACAGGCAGGACAGCCUCAUGGUUCAAUAUUCAAAAGGCAAAAGGAGACUGGAAAUAAAUCAAGCCUGAGCCUGGGAGUCGGAGCCUCUUCUCCCAGCUGCUGGGGCCUGGUCUGAUUUGGCCUCAUCUCAACAAGGAGACUUGUCCUGCUGGAGACUCUGGUACCAGUCCUGGGGCACACCUAGCCUCUUGCUUCAAAUCACGAUGACAAGAUUUUUGACACUGAAAAGUUUAAAUGACAAAUGCAAGAACCUUGACCGCUUCUCCACCCCUACCAGCGAGGUUGCUGGUUUGAACUCAGUGCUUGGCCAAUUUGUU